rnacentral:misc_RNA from 1 species
GAUGAAGAACGUAGCGAAAUGCGAUAAGUAAUGUGAAUUGCAGAAUUCAGUGAAUCAUCGAAUCUUUGAACGCACAUUGCGCCCGCCAGUAUUCUGGCGGGCAUGCCUGUUCGAGCGUCAUUUCAACCAUCAAGCCCCCGGCUUGUGUUGGGGACCUGCGGCUGCCGCAGGCCCUGAAAACCAGUGGCGGGCUCGCUAGUCACUCCGAGCGUAGUAAUACAUCUCGCUCAGGGCGUGCUGCGGGUUCCGGCCGUUAAAAAGCCUUAUUUACCCAAGGUUGACCUCGGAUCAGGUAGGAAGACCCGCUGAACUUAAGUAUAUCAAUAAGCGGAGGA